rnacentral:tRNA from 1 species
GCCGAGGUAGCUCAGUUGGCAGAGCAGUGGUAUCGUAAACCUCAGGUCGCCGGUUCGAUUCCGGCCCUCGGCU